GUCCCACGACAUCGGCGGUACAUAUGCUGAAAUUGGAACGAUACAGAGAAGAUUAGCAUGGCCCCUGCGCAAGGAUGACACGUAAAAUCGUGAAGCGUUCCAUAUUUUU
rfam:Schistosoma mattheei strain Denwood, Zambia genome assembly, scaffold: SMTD_scaffold0005053